rnacentral:rRNA from 1 species
UGGGGAAUCUUGGACAAUGGGGGAAACCCUGAUCCAGCCAUCCCGCGUGUGCGAUGAAGGCCUUCGGGUUGUAAAGCACUUUUGGCAGGAAAGAAACGUCGCGGGUUAAUACCCCGCGAAACUGACGGUACCUGCAGAAUAAGCACCGGCUAACUACGUGCCAGCAGCCGCGGUAAUACGUAGGGUGCAAGCGUUAAUCGGAAUUACUGGGCGUAAAGCGUGCGCAGGCGGUUCGGAAAGAAAGAUGUGAAAUCCCAGAGCUUAACUUUGGAACUGCAUUUUUAACUACCGGGCUAGAGUGUGUCAGAGGGAGGUGGAAUUCCGCGUGUAGCAGUGAAAUGCGUAGAUAUGCGGAGGAACACCGAUGGCGAAGGCAGCCUCCUGGGAUAACACUGACGCUCAUGCACGAAAGCGUGGGGAGCAAACAGGAUUAGAUACCCUGGUAGUCCACGCCCUAAACGAUGUCAACUAGCUGUUGGGGCCUUCGGGCCUUGGUAGCGCAGCUAACGCGUGAAGUUGACCGCCUGGGGAGUACGGUCGCAAGAUU